UGUGAACUUAACCACCAUGCCUCCGGGCCAGCCCCAAAGGGUCAGUUCUUUAAAUGAUGAGGCCACACAAUAAUGUUCCUUGGAGAAAUAGAACUGCCUGAUGCCUCAGCCCUGGAAUAACUUUCAGUUGCUUCCCACAUUUGGUUUUUGCAAGUUACAUCUAUGCAAAGGAGUCAGUCCACAAGUUUUAAAUCUCCUCACUGUGGAGAGCAGUAUUCAGAGCCUGGGCAGAAAGAUCAUAGGAUGAUCUUGGUUCUGCCUGUGGAAACUCCCUCACUCACCUCCAAGACGAAGUGGAAUGGCUUCAGGAAAAUGUCGUUGCUAAAUUCUGUAUUUUUCACAAGUUAUCUGUUCUAAUCCCACCUCUUCCCUGCAGGAGCCGUAUGAUUGUGUCCUUAAUUGGCAACGUAGAAGAGUCACUAGCUACUUGUUAAGGAGUACAUUCUUGAAUUCUUUGUUACUCAAGAAUCUAUUAAAAGCUCAGCUAAGAGAAACAAUGUCCGUGGAUGAUUUAGGAAAGAUCAUUCCUUCCUAUUUUGUUCCCACUGUAUUCCCAGCAUCUCUGUCUGGCAAGUUGUAGGUAAUCCACAAUAUUUGUUACUUGAAUGAAUGCAUGAAAUUUAUCACUGGAUUAAGUCUUUCAAAUGCUAAGAGAUGUAUUUCCAGAAUAUUGUUUUAUCCCCUACAGAAUUGUUGCCUCUGAAUUGUAUUUGAUAUGAAACCCUAGGAUUGUAUUGAGAAUUUCUUUAUUAAUCCUACUAUAGAACUUGUGUUAUUAGAAUAUACACUCUUUCCUUUAUGAAGCACCUCAAUAAUGUUUCCUUUUUGGUCCAAGUAUGAGAAAUAGUCUUGCUCAUCUCGA